rnacentral:rRNA from 1 species
UACAGAGGUCUCAAGCGUUGUUCGGAUUCAUUGGGCGUAAAGGGUGCGUAGGUGGCAUGGUAAGUUGAAGGUGAAAUCUCGGGGCUUAACUCCGAAACUGCCUUCAAUACUGCUGUGCUUGAGGAUUGUAGAGGAGAAUGGAAUUCACGGUGUAGCAGUGAAAUGCGUAGAUAUCGUGAGGAAGACCAGUGGCGAAGGCGAUUCUCUGGGCAAUUCCUGACACUGAGGCACGAAGGCCAGGGUAGCAAACGGG